UGUCUGACCACAAACCAACAUAUCCUGUCUCAAUUCUCCUAUUCAUACAGUGUUUGGGGAUGUUUGUUAAGUUUUAAGAAUCCCCUCCCACCCCCAGAUUUUCACACCUCAACUCUCCACAGGUGUUUUAAAAUCAUUGCUCACUCAUCCCUUCUCUGAAUUAGAAUUUGAGCAUUUUUCUGUUAUGAUACUGCCCCACUCCUAUUGUGAUACGCCUCCUCUUAAGAAAGUUUUUCUAGACUCAUGUCCAGAUUAAACUUCUUUUCUUCGACAGUAAUGAUGCCAUGACUUGGACAAAAUGCCAACUGCCCCUGGCUCCUGCUUUCUUCACCCAGUGCUGCCUUAUUGGACUCCUCGUGCCUUUCCUUGGCUGGGGAAAUCAGAAUCCACAGUGGACACGAACAAAAUCUUUGGUAAUACAACCAAAGCUUUGCCUGGAUCUCAUAUUUGAGAAUGAUGCUUAUUCGAUCAGAUAUGACCAGUCGCUUUUAAGGAACUCAAGUCGACCUUAUGGGACCAAUGCUUCGAAAGAGCCUCUUGUGAAAACUGGCUUGAAACCUGGCUUUGCAGGGUUCACAGCUUUGCAGAGCUUCGACUGAGAAUUUAGAAGAGAGUAGAUGGAAAAUAUUUUUCCCUCCUGUCCAAAUGCAAGGAUAAUCUUACAUGAGUCCAGGAGGAAGGCUCAUUCCAUGCUAAGCAUUCUGAAUCAAAAAGAUGAACAAAAUACAGUGCCAUUCUUCAAGGACUUCACAGUCUACAGGAAAGGAAGAUAUUUAAACAAGUAAUUGCAGAAUUGGAAAUUGGAACUGAUGUACUUAGAAGGGUUUUGAACAACGGACACGGCUGUGACUCUCUCUGCUUUUGCAAACUUUAGCAAAACCACCGGUGAGUUCCACCUGAGGCUGAUCUGAAGCUUGUGUUCUGAAUUUGCCAACUAAGAUAAGAAGGAAACAUUGAUAGCAGAAAGAAUGGCUGUGCAAGGAAGUGAAGAUCCAAGAAGGAUGUGUUUUCUCAGAAACCUAGAAAGGCAACUCCUUCUCAACCUCCAGGGACAUCAGAAUAGACACUCAGUGAUGGGUCCUGAGCAUUUUCACAUCCAAGGAAAGUUCUAAAUUACUGGAAUUAGAUAUGUUAAAUCAAGACUGUCAUGACAACCUGACUUCAAGAGUUAUUUGCUGAAAGUGCAAAGCAGAGGAAAAGACCAUUUUGUGUGUGCAUCACCCUUGUGAUCUCACAAGUACAGUGCUUCAUGACAUAUGGAAACCUGCUGAGUAAUUGAAUAGCCUGGGGAUAAUUGCAUCUGACUAUGUUAUUCUAAAGUGAUGGGUUGAGAUGUGCAGUGGAUAGGAGAAAACAGGUUUCUAGAAUUGCAAUGGAUGACUGUUUGCUCUGACCUUUAUUGAAUUUAAACAUGGGGAACAGGAUGCAGCAGGGCGCAAGUUGUCGGCCAGCAUAUGAGGAGUGGGGUAGACUUAUUUGUUAGUCUGGCUUACAAAGGUGUCUUGCAUUCAUUUGAGAACAAAUUCAACAGCUGUGAUUCUGCCUUUUCCUCCAAGUAAAGGCUUAUCUUCUUCCGAAGCUAAAUGCAUCUGCACACCCGUCCAGCUCAGCAUCAUUAUUUGUAUGGAACUUUUAUAUAAUUCCUUCUAAAAAACACAAAUAUUCUCAUUUGCUCCUCACAAUUGUAAAAUAUUGUUAUCCUCAUCCAACCUUCAUUUUGCAGAUGAAGAAAUCAGAGCCCAGAGAAGCUGAGUAGCCUACUGGUUGCAAGUUGUGGAAUCAUGACUUCUGUCCGUGUCAUUCUACUUGCAAAUCCAGUGUCCUGCAGACUGCUCUCACGUUUUAGUUUGGAGAGGCCUGGGAGAACCGCUUGUUCCUUUAGGUAGACACACACAUCCUGAGGUGGCUCAGGCUGAUAAGAGCAAAUAUUAAGAAAAUGGAGAUGGUUAGAGUGAAGCCCUAACUUCCCACAGCAGAUGGGGUCUAUGAGGAGGAAAAAGUGGAUGCCUGGACCAGUCCUGUUAUGAAGACAAGUCUCACGGUGCUACUGUGCCUCCAUGAGCUCCUGUGGCCCAGAAGCUGGCAUCCUGUGAGUGGGUAGGCUGACGAUUAUGCCAACUAACUCAGCAGGGAUUUACAUUGUCAUUGAGGUCCAUUCACACAUUAGUACAGCUCCAUAGAUUGUAGGACAUUUUCCAGGCUGGGGCAAAUAAGUUAUUGCUUUCAGUAAAUCCUCUCCCUCCUUCCCUUCCUUCUACUUCAGAUUUGGGAUGAUGGAGUGGGCUGAGUUUUAAGACUAUUCUGUCGGUUGAUAAUAUUCUCUGGGUGACCAUAUCUGCAGAAAUCUCUUGCAGUAUUGAAGUCCAAAUCCAACACAACGCUGUCACCAAUCCAUAAGCUCCAUUCACCUCCAUAUCCCUAGUGAGUACAUCAUAACAUCAGAAAUACACAAAAAAAUACUUGCAGAAAUAUUUUGUGAAGUCCAAAAAAUAUAUAUCAGGUUUUAUUGCAUGGUGUUGUGUUUACAAGCAACUACUUGACUUGCAAAAUCUGCUUGACAUGAAGUGUGUUAUAAUGGCUUUCUGCUGCUACUCCUCUGAAGUCCUGAGCAAUUCCACCAUCCAGGGGAAACAGCUAAUAUCUAUCUGCCUGUUCUAAAACAUUGCAUGCAAGACAUACACACAUAAUCUCCUUGCAUCUUCUAAUAUUUAGCAAACUAUUAAAUGUUGAACAAUUUAACAAUCUAUUGAGUGACUUUUCAUUUGCUAUCAAAGUAGACAGAUACAUGGUCCUAGGGAAUGCACAAGGGCAUUAGUGGUAUAUUAGGGGUAUAUAUAUUACAAUCUCUUGGCAUGUUAGUCAGGCAAGUUAUUUAUCUCUGAGGUUCUAUAUUUUCACCUGCAAAGUGAAAAUGAUAAUUGUCAUUGAGUUGCAAAAAAAGAAAUUAUAAUGAAGUCAUGAGGGGUCAUGUUUCCUGAGUUAGAAACCGUCUUUCACCACUGUAGUGGACACUGUAGUGCUCCACUCCAAUUCCAGAACUAAGAAACUCCUGCCCGUGGCUGCUGCGAGUAUGGAUUGUUGACAUUUCACAGCCAAGUUUCUUCUCAGGAAAUACCCUCUCUUGGCCAAAAAGAGCUGCUUUGUCUAAUGCUACACCCUUGUCCUGGGGGCAGUCUACCAGGCUUCAAAGUCUUGGCAUUCUUUCUUCAAUUCAGCCCUGAAGGGUUAUUCCAACUCCAUAAGUGCCUGGGAAGUCACCUGCAACCACUAUGACCCAGUCCUGCUUCUCUAACCCCCUGACAGGUGCUGCUCCGGAAAACACCCCCAGUAAACUUUACACAAAUAAAUUUCAAAGUCAGAAUCGGCUUCCCGGAGUCCUGGUAGUUCUAUGAAAUUCACUGCUUAUUGAGUAUAGAGAUCACACAGAUAGAGACACGUGGUGGAAUUGGAAUUGAACUUCUGAUAAGAGCCCUGUGAUUUCAAGUCCAGGUCUCCUGUUAGUCUCCAUCAUUCUACUUCAUUAAUGAAAUAGGUUGGAAGAAGUCACAGCACAAUAGAUCCAUAUAUUUCAGCCCAUUAAUAAUCAACAUAUUCUAGUCUUAGGCAAUUAUUUUUAAAAAGUUGUAUACACCAUUGUGAUCAGUGUGAUCUAGCCAGGGUUUUCUACUACAGUGGGGCAGCCUGGAACUCAGUCAAAUAUACUUGUCUUUCUCAAGUCUUUAUGAGAUUCAUUUUUAUAUUUUUACAAUCACAUUUUGAACUGACACAGAGUGCAAUUUUGGAGAGGUGAGCCUACAAAUGAGCAAAGGUCACUGCCAUUCAUUCCUUCAUUCAUUUUGUUUUUAUCCAGCCAACCAGCCACCAUGUAUUGUGUGCUUUCCACAUGCCACGACACAUUCUGAGAACUUUCCAUACGUGCUCUUCUUUCAUCUUCACAUCAACAACAUGAAGCCUAAGCUGUGAUGAAUUUUGUCCAAACUGACUCAGAUAAGAAGAGGCCAAAUAAGAAAUACAUUCCAGUUGUCGCCAAAGUUCAUGCUUUUCUAAGUAUCACAUUAUAUUUUCCUUCCCACUGGCACACAGCUUAAAUAAAAGUCAAACUAUGAGAAGCAUCAGGAAGUAAAAUCAGUGUACAGGUGAGAGGAUGCACUUACAUACAUGAUCUCUCAAGACUUCCUGGAGAAGGCACGACUCGGCUUUUGCAGUGACCAAGACUCAUUUCCAAGUAGAAAGCUCUGUAAUUUUGCUUGAGAGAUAGAGUGGAAAGGGCCCAGGCUUCAGAGUGUGACUGGCUUGAAUUUGACCUCUAUCUUCAUCUAUUACUACCUAUGUGGCUCUGGACAUCUUACUUAACCUCUCUGAAUCUUCACUUUGUCAUGCUGAGAGACCUCAUUGACUUGUUAUAAAGAUUAAUCAUAAAACACAUCUAGCCCAAUAACUGAUACUAUAGUAGACAUUUAACAAGUGAUGUUUUAUUUGAGCUAAUUCAAGUCUCUAGGUUAUAAGAAAAUGUCAAAAAAAUAAUCAGCUUCUCCAGUCUGUGCCUUUGAGAAGGACAAGCCAAAGGAGGACUUUGCUGCUGUGCUCAUAUCUCAUAUUGUACCAUUUGUCAUAAAAAUUACAUGUUCACAUAAGCGCACACACACACACACGGACCCAAACACUCAGACAGGAGCCACAGUCUACAGUGAAGGAUCGCUUAGAGUGCUUAGGCACCAUAAUAAACUUUCACAUAAAGUACAGCAGUAGUGUUCUUAAUUAAAAUCUCUAAAGAACUCUCGUUGUUGACCAUAUCACCAACCAAAGCCAUAUUUACCUUGUUAAUUAUUCAAGUUGUGGUGAAUAAGAAACAAUGCCCAGGCUUCUCAUAAAAUUUCCAAAAAUUAAACCAGGGAAAUGGGCAAUAAAUGUCAUUUGAAAUGGUACUGAUGCCAGUUAAUUACAAGACAACUGUAAAAUAAUAGGCCAUGAGGUGCUUCAACAAUGCCUAAUUAGUAACUAUAUGGGCAUUUCCUUCGAGAAAAUGGCAAUUACAUGGUACAAACACUUAGCAGUCAUCAUCAAAGGCCCUUAACCAAUAUUAGCUAAUUAAUCUUCCCUACAACACUCUGGCAGGAGGCAGCACAAGUCCUCAUUGAGAGAGGGAGAAGGGAAGGCCAAAAGAUGAAUGGAAAAUCCUCUUCUGCUCAGCAUCUCUAAAGAACAAUUUGAUACCCACAGCCUAGAAGCACUCAAGAGGAAUUCCCAGGCCAAGAGAAGCAGAUUGUUUUCUUAAUGAGUGACUUGCCAGGUGAUAUAUAAGGUUAAUGUGAUGAACUCCUGGCUUCCUCCUGAUUUCCUGCUGUGGCUUACAUCCUGGCUGUCCUUGAGCACUCCCCAUGCCGAACUGCUGUUGCAGGCACAGAUGCACUCUUGCAUUUAUUAGCCCUUUUCUCUUUAUCUCAACAAGCAGGCUUUUGAUCUCAAAUAUAUAAAACCACUGCGGGGAGAGGGAAGCUAUGCCUCUUUCCACAAAGCCACACUCGUUAUAUUAUAAUAUGAUUCACAGUUUUUGAUUUUAACUUAAUAUAUGAGAUCUGAAAUUAUUUUAGAAGUAUGAUUGAUUUUGAUUAGGUAAAGGUGUUUUUAAAGGAGUGAAUUAUCUCUUACGUGACUUAAUCUAACCUACAUUAAAAAUUUCUGACAAAAUCCCAUUUGUGUCUAAUUUUGUAUUCUUUUACCUAAAGAGGGUCCAAAAUUUGUAUAAGUUCCAGACCCAAGACAACCUAAGUCUGCACAUCUAUCUGGUUGAGUUCUUCCAGCUCUGAGUCAGGGGCCACAUUUUGUGAGAUUCUGAGGCUCUGAUGCCCAUUUAAGGUAGAUUUAAUUUCAUAAAGCAAAGUUAGGUUACAUCAUAAAAUGAGGUUUGACAAGUUUUUCUCCACCUAACUCCUUUUGUCUUAUGAUACAUCUGAUUCUUCCCAUUUAAAAAGUUACAAGUUUUAAUGAGGAAAUGGAGAAGGAAGGGGAGAAUGAAAAGAAAGAGAUGGAGGAAGAAGAGAAAGGAGAAGGGCAAGAUGAGAAGGAGUAGGGAUAAGUGAGGGCAGCAUGUGUUAGGCACCAAGUUCAGUGUUUUAUGUGUGUUAUAUCCUUUCCUCUUUACAGCAACACUAUAAAGGGGUAUAAUUACUCUCUCCACCCCAUUUUAUAGAUGUUGAAACUAGGACAUGCAAAGGUUAAGUGGCCUGCAAAUAAGGGAUUUUAUUAGCUAGUUUCAUAGCUAACAAAAUGGUGAGCCUUGCCCAGAACCCAUUUCCAUUUUAUCCUAAAUUUUUUGUUCUUUCAAUAACGCUGUUUUAGGGUGAGCUUCCUUAUCACCUCUAAUCUGCCUCUGAACUCAUAGCUAAUCAAUAUCCAGAAGGCAUGCAUAACAAACAUUUGGAAUGAUAAUAUCCUAAUAAAGCGCUGGAUGAGCCGAGAUCCAGUGGCAGGUCAAAUCCAAAUACAAGCGUUAAAGUAACACACACACUUCUCAGAAAAGGAGUCACGACUUGUUCCUUCAGUAUCCCAAAAAUGUUUUUGCUCCUUCAGUGUCCUUCUCCUCUUUCAUUUUGGGGGAUACUUAUUUCUUCAGUC